rnacentral:lncRNA from 1 species
CUGCUGCAGCCUUUCUUGUAGAUCUGUUGAUGGAGAUCUCACCCGUGCCUCAAACGAUCUCAGAUCAACUCCAGAUCUGAGAGAAACUUGCACCAACCUCUCCUCAAGAGAUUUCAAGUCUUGGACGUGAUAUUUGGGUGGCUGCAAGAGAGGGAGAAGAGAGAGAGUCGGUGGCUGCAAGGGGGAAGGGGCUAGCGCCUCCCUUCUUUCUUUUCUUAUCUGGACCGGCGGCAAGAAACCCUAGG